GAUGGGGGAGGACGGUGCUUCUGGUUUCUCUGGAGCCCAGGGCUUGCCUGGUCUUCCUGGCGAUCCAGGUGAGACUGGGGUGCUAGGACUGAAGGGUGACAUCGGUAUGGAGGGGCCACGCCGGAG